rnacentral:rRNA from 1 species
GCUAAACGCGAAGAACCUUACCUACUCUUGACAUCCAGAGAACUUAGCAGAGAUGCUUUGGUGCCUUCGGGAACUCUGAGACAGGUGCUGCAUGGCUGCCGUCAGCUCGUGUUGUGAAAUGUUGGGUUAAGUCCCGCAACGAGCGCAACCCUUAUCCUUUGUUGCCAGCGGUCCGGCCGGGAACUCAAAGGAGACUGCCAGUGAUAAACUGGAGGAAGGUGGGGAUGACGUCAAGUCAUCAUGGCCCUUACGAGUAGGGCUACACACGUGCUACAAUGGCGCAUACAAAGAGAAGCGACCUCGCGAGAGCAAGCGGACCUCAUAAAGUGCGUCGUAGUCCGGAUUGGAGUCUGCAACUCGACUCCAUGAAGUCGGAAUCGCUAGUAAUCGUAGAUCAGAAUGCUACGGUGAAUACGUUCCCGGGUCUUGUACACACCG